rnacentral:tRNA from 1 species
UGGAACAUAGCUCAACCGGUGAGAGCAUCGGCCUUAUAAGCCGAAGGUUCAGGGUUCGAGUCCCUGUGUUCCAACCA